rnacentral:rRNA from 1 species
CAAAAUAGAGAAGAGCACAACGGGUGGUGGAUCUGGGUAGGAGGAGGGGAGUGUGAGGGAGGGUAGGGGCGGCGGCGGCGGCGGCGAGCGGAGCGUUCUACCGCCACGGAUAGGACUUCUGCCGCUAGCACUUCUUCGCCCACUUCGUGAAGUUCUCCCGCGUGUCGCUGGCGAUGUAGCCGGAGUUCGUUUCGACCGCGUCCGGUUUCCCAUAGCUGAGGGCACAGUCCGCAUUCAAGUUCCCUACGUGGAACUACGGGUUGUAACCUAUACCAAGAUUGUUCUUCUGGUCCGUGAUGGAAGGGUUGUUCAAGUUCUUCAAACACCACGUGUUGCAGAGACUCGACCUCGACGAAUACUACGUGUUGUCCUGCAUGACACGACUCUAGCGCGUGUUGCACAGGUGGGUCUUCGCGUUCCGCUAUCACCUCGCGCGGCGGGUCGAGCUGCAGCACCAGUGGUUGUUCGAGCGGUCCGAGGCGUCGGUCCUCCUACUCACUUUACAAAGCUUGUCAUCGCGAAAACCUAGCAAAACAAGGGACAUCGUCUGAAUUACGGCUUAGACCUUAAAAGAGAAGACAAGCGGAGCUCCUAAGCUGCGACAACUUGUGGAACGAUAGCUACGACCAGUACGAUAGCAUGGUACCCGUGCAGCUGAAACUACACUUCAGGCCCAAACGGAAAUAAAUAGUGGAUACCUUUCUAAAAGACAUGGCGGAAAAGGGACUAAAACGUUGACGGUUGACUAUAUUAUAGAAUCCCAAGAACGUACAAAAAAGUCUUAGAAUACUCCGUAAACGUGGGUACCGACGAAGUACACGACUUUACGCGUCACCUAAGCACGCAGGAGUUCAACGGUGUCACCCCUACGAACUAAUAAUGCAAAACAGCUCAGUACGGUUCCGUAAAGACUGCCUCUUUCAACUCGAUCAAUCCAAUCCCAUCCAGUACUUCACCUCAUCGAACGUCUCAUGACAUGUCAUCAUCGGAACGGAACGGAGCCAAGAACCCAGCGUUUCAACAUGACGAUCAUAUAACAAACCCGUUCCCGGUUUGGGCAUGUAACGUUCAGAACUAGAGCCAAAAUAGUUGUGAAGUUGCCUCGUCAUUGCACGUUCACAACCUGUAUGUUUGUCAUGCAUCGAGCGACAAACCGAUUUGGGAUCUGCACCGUCAACAUAGUCGGCAGGGG